CAGCAAAAUCUCUGGGAAUACCAACAUCAGUGCAUAGAAAGGACGUGAGGGGCUUUUUCCCCUCUUGUGGCUGCAUUAGACAAUGCCUCCUUAUGCAAAACUAGCAGAGCACAGUACAGAACCACAGAAUCAUAGAAUCAUCAAGGUUGGGAAGCCCUCAGCUUUCUCUAACAGGUCAAUGUCAAAACUUGAAAAUUAUGUGUAUGCUCAAAGAGAAGAGACACAGGCAGUUUCUUUGCAGCUGACUGACUGAGGAUUUUAACUUUCUGGCCUACAGUCAACAGAGCAUCUACCCGUCCUUGUGAAGC